GGAUGUAGCCRAGUGGAUCAAGGCAGUGGAUUGUGAAUCCACCAUGCGCGA
rnacentral:tRNA from 1 species